rnacentral:rRNA from 1 species
CGUACACUCCUGCGGGAGGCAGCAGUGGGGAAUAUUGCACAAUGGGCGCAAGCCUGAUGCAGCCAUGCCGCGUGUAUGAAGAAGGCCUUCGGGUUGUAAAGUACUUUCAGCGGGGAGGAAGGCGAUAAGGUUAAUAACCUUGUUGAUUGACGUUACCCGCAGAAGAAGCACCGGCUAACUCCGUGCCAGCAGCCGCGGUAAUACGGAGGGUGCAAGCGUUAAUCGGAAUUACUGGGCGUAAAGCGCACGCAGGCGGUCUGUCAAGUCGGAUGUGAAAUCCCCGGGCUCAACCUGGGAACUGCAUUCGAAACUGGCAGGCUAGAGUCUUGUAGAGGGGGGUAGAAUUCCAGGUGUAGCGGUGAAAUGCGUAGAGAUCUGGAGGAAUACCGGUGGCGAAGGCGGCCCCCUGGACAAAGACUGACGCUCAGGUGCGAAAGCGUGGGGAGCAAACAGGAUUAGAUACCCUAGUAGUCCCAUGA